UGGGGAAUAUUGCACAAUGGGCGCAAGCCUGAUGCAGCCAUGCCGCGUGUGUGAAGAAGGCCUUCGGGUUGUAAAGCACUUUCAGCGAGGAGGAAGGGUAGUGUGUUAAUAGCACAUUGCAUUGACGUUACUCGCAGAAGAAGCACCGGCUAACUCCGUGCCAGCAGCCGCGGUAAUACGGAGGGUGCAAGCGUUAAUCGGAAUUACUGGGCGUAAAGCGCACGCAGGCGGUUUGUUAAGUCAGAUGUGAAAUCCCCGCGCUUAACGUGGGAACUGCAUUUGAAACUGGCAAGCUAGAGUCUUGUAGAGGGGGGUAGAAUUCCAGGUGUAGCGGUGAAAUGCGUAGAGAUCUGGAGGAAUACCGGUGGCGAAGGCGGCCCCCUGGACAAAGACUGACNCUCAGGUGCGAAAGCGU
rnacentral:rRNA from 1 species